CCAGCAGCCGCGGUAAUUCCAGCUCCACAAGUGUAAAUCGUCAUUGCUGCGGUUAAAAAGCUCGUAGUUGGAUCUUAGUUACGUACUUUGAUUCGCCUUUGGCGUUAAUCAUUGUCGUGACUAUUUUGUUGGUUUUCUGUUGGUGGCUUCGGCUCCUUCAGUGGCUAGCGAGUUUACUUUGAAUAAAUUAGAGUGCUCAAAACAAGCGUUUGCUUGAAUGCUCGAUCAUGGAAUAAUAAAAGAGGACUUCGGUUCUAUUUGUUGGUUCAGGAACUGAAUUAAUGGUUAAGAGGGACAACUCGGGGGCAUUCGUAUCCCUGCGCGAGAGGUGAAAUUCGUGGACCGCAGGGGGACGCCCUAAAGCGAAAGCAUUUGCCAAGAAUGUCUUCAUUAAUCAAGAACGAAAGUCAGAGGUUCGAAGGCGAUUAGAUACCGCCCUAGUUCUGACCGUAAACUAUGCCAUCUAGCGAUCCAAUGGGGUAUUGUAGCCUUGUUGGGGAGCUUCCCGGAAACGAAAGUCUUUCGGUUCCUGGGGUAGUAUGGUUGCAAAGCUGAAACUUAAAGAAAUUGACGGAAGGGCACCUACCAGGAGUGGAGCCUGCGGCUUAAUUUGACUCAACACGGGAAAACUCACCCGGCCCGGACACCGUUAGGAUUGACAGAUUGAAAGCUCUUUCUCGAUUUGGUGGUUGGUGGUGCAUGGCCGUUCUUAGUUGGUGGAGCGAUUUGUCUGGUUUAUUCCGAUAACGAGCGAGACUCUAGCCUGCUAAAUAGUGUCCAGAUAUAUAAGUCUGGCUUACUUCUUAGAGGGAUAAGCGGUGUUUAGCCGCACGAGAUUGAGCGAUAACAGGUCUGUGAUGCCCUUAGAUGUUCGGGGCUGCACGCGCGCUACACUGGAAGAAUCAGCUGGUCCUUCCAUUGCCGAAAGGUAUUGGUAAACCGUUGAAACUCUUCCGUGACCGGGAUAGGGAAUUGUAAUUAUUUCCCUUGAACGAGGAAUUCCUAGUAAGUGUGAGUCAUCAGCUCACGUUGAUUACGUCCCUGCCCUUUGUACACACCGCCCGUCGCUGUCCGGGACUGAGCUGUUUCGAGAAGAGUGGAGACUGCUGUAUUGGGGCUUUCGGGCUCUGGUAUGAUGGAAACCAUUUUAAUCGCAAUGGCUUGAACCGGGCAAAAGUCGUAACA
rnacentral:ncRNA from 1 species